CACAAUGUGGCAGGAAAUAUGACUCAUUCAGUAUAUGGUUGAAUACAAAGAUAUCGUUGGAGUUUUCAGUUGGAGCAAAAACCGCCCAAUGCCACUGAACCUUCUGGAUCAAUAUUUGUUGAGAGCUGAUGAUGGAAAUCAAGCUGUGUGUCUGGCUGGUCAGCAGUCUGAUUCACAUGCUCUCAGGAUGUUCUCUAUCUGAAUUCAGAGGAGUCACUGGGUACACAGGAGGCUCCGUGGUCCUGCCUUGCUUCUGCACUGAUGGAGGGACAAUACCGAGAUCUGCCAGAUGGUAUUUUCAACCAGGUCUUUCCAGUAUCUUACUUUGGUCACGUCGUCGAACGGUCGACCACUACAAAGACCGGUUGUUGAUUUCUGACGCCCCUGGAAACGUGUCUCUCCGUCUCUCAGAUCUCACUCUGUCAGAUGGGGGAACAUACAGGUGUGAAGCAGAUGGACACAACACCUACAGGGACAUCACUCUCACAGUUGAAGUAGGCUGUGUUUUGCAUGAUUCUGGACCCAUACACAUCACUGGAUUCAAAGGACACCCAGUUGUCCUGCCCUGUGCCUGUACUGAUGUGCAGAAGAAACCUGAACUUAUCAAAUGGACUGCAAUGACAGAACAACAAAGCGCUGUUAUAUUUCCACCACAUCCUUCCAGUGGCAGAGUGCAGCUGUUGGACUCUGUCUCCCCUGGAAACCUGUCUCUCCAUCUCUCAGGUCUAACUCCGUCAGAUGGGGGAACAUACAGGUGUGAAGCUGAUGGACAGUAUAAAGAAAUCAUUCUCACAGUUAUACAUGAAUUUCAAGAAUUUUGUUUAAAAGUUUAAAUGGGUUGUGUGGGUAACACUUUAUAAUAACAAUCCUUUAUAAGUCAUUUAUAAGCUGCUAGUUCAUGAUGAACUAAUCAUUAACAAAUUAUUAAUUACAUUUGUAAUUAUUAAUAAAUAAUUUGUUAUUUUAUAGAUAAUAUGUUGUAAGUCACAUAUAAACUAUGAACUGAUCAUUGGUAAAACAUAGGUAAUUAUAUUUUAAACAAUGAUUUAUGUUAACUAAACAUUUACAUGUUUUGUAGAUUACUCUUACCAACAAUUAUUAAAUACAUCUGUAAAUGAUGAAUACAUCAGUUGUUCUUAUAUUGAUGACAUGUUGUAAAUCACCUAUAAAAUAUGAACUAAUAAUUUAUAACUGAUUUGUAAACGAUUUGUAAACAAAUGGUUAUCAUGUUAACUAAACAUUCACAAAUAAUCUGUAGCUGAUCUAUGGAACAUAAUUUGUAAAUGGUGGUGUGGCCAGCAGGGAUGGCACCAUUCAUCUUGCUCCUGGACUGGUUGAAGGUCAGCAAGGAUGGGCUUGGUUAGUACACGGAUGGAAGAUGUCCAGAGAAAUUUCUGCUGGAAGUCGGCAGCAUUCUUCCCUCUGGUCAAAUAAGCCCCGACACAGUGAUGUUUGGGAGGCCAUCUUUUGAAUUAGACAUUAACCAUGGCAUACCACUUUUCACCAUUCUAUGCAAACUCUAGAGACUAAUGUGCAUGAAAAUCCCAGGAGAUCAGCAAUUUCUGAGAUCAAACCACCCUGUCUGCCACCAACAAUCAUGCCAUGGUCAAAGUCACUUAGAUCACAUUUUUUCCCCAUUAUGAUGGUUGAUGUGAACCUUAACUGAAAAUGAAUGAAUUCAAGUUCCUGUUAUUUUAGUUUGUACACAUUAAAGAGUGGGUAAUACAUUACUUCAAUAAUCAAUCGCCAUAAGACAGACAAACACGACAUAACUGUCACAAGUUGGCAUAACAGAUGACGUCAGGUUAUGCUUAAUGACAUAAAACUCAAAUCAAAAUAUAAAGAUAGAGAAUGUGCCAAAGUAAUAUUAAAACAUUUGACAAUAUAUUUUCAUCAACCAGCUUGAACAGUAUGUGAGUCUAUCAAAGAGAAUUAGGCUUUAAACGUUUGCAUUUUAACUAGCCACAUGGGUGGCUAUGUUAGCUAAGGUUAGCUAGCUAGCUUACCCAGCUAGCUAGUUCCAGGUAGAAAUGGUAUACAUGUUGAUAAAAGACCAACAAAGCCUGAUUCCCAAUACUUAUUAAGUAAGAUAUUGUUGUUGUUGUUUUUUUGUAUUAGCUAUUGUAUUGUUGUACUCAGGGUAUUCUAGUUGUCA